rnacentral:lncRNA from 1 species
UCUCUAAUAAAUAGCAGUGAACGAAUGAGUUCAUUGGCAAGACAAAAUCACAUAGGAAUAGAAGAAGGAAGGAGGAAUAGAAUAGAAGAAGUAAUCUCUUUGUUAUGAUGGCACUCACCAAGAGCACUACAACACGAUCGACAAUUGUGUAGUCUGUGGUUAUUGCAUUCCUGGUGCUUGCUAUGAUAUGUUCUACCUUGCGAUCCUGCCAUGCACGCAGUGGUAUGCAAGACAUCUCCUUAUUUCGAAUUUAUAAAUUUGCUAAUGCUUUGGUACACCCGCUUAGAGAAGUUUACACGAAUGUUAAAAUUGCAUUAAAAAGGAUAUUUGUGUACAUUGAUGAUUAACUAAUUAUAACACAUAUCUUCCUGAUAGCUCAAUCAACAGACCAGAACCAACUGUGUGGCAGCUCAAUCUAGAACCAACAAUGGCUAGCCUUCUCUAUGACAACCACUGCUCCGUGGCCUCCCAAUACCCCACAAGAAGGACGUAUAUCAUGCUCUCGUAGUCUUCUUGAUUAUUGAUAGCCCUACUUGUUGAUCAUGUUUGAUGGAGUGUGUUUUAGUUUUUUCAGUAGCUAGUACGGUAGGUAGAAUAGAGCUUGAACACGAAAUUUGAAUUGAAGACCAUUAUAUGUCCCAAAUCAGUGUAGGGUAGGAGACUUAAAAGAUCAGAGUUUGAAUAUCAAAUUAGAUCGCUAGCGGGUGGCGGGUGUACGCGGAACCAUUAUGGCGCGACAGACUUGCAACAAGUCCACCCUCGACAGUGCUACCCAUGUCUAUUGCUGCAGCAGCCUGCAGAUCAAACAUUGAAACGAUAUAUUUGGACAUAAAAGACUAUACUAUCCUUUUUUGAUUGAAGGGGUAACCCUUAAUGUCCAACUUUGGUCUUCUAGGCAAGUUGUACACUUUUAUAAGGUGGUGUGCAUAAGUAAACCUCUAUCAACCUAUCAAAAAAAUACUUGUUUGAUAAGUGUGUACUACAUGUGUAUUUUGCAGAACCUAAUAAACCGCCGGUGUGCGUGCGGAUGGAUCCAUGUUUCGAGCGCACUACAUGCUGGGAAAUGUGCGUGGAUAUGGGUUUCCGUGUCCCUCAUCCCGAUUUGUAAGGGGAGUGUAGAUCGGCUUUGUUGCUGCCUAGACAGGACCCGUACAACUCAUUGAUGGUUCUCUUCCUGAGCUAUGCCAUGCUGAAUAAUUGUAUGCUUGUGAUGAGCGUGUGCUGAUCUUAAUAAACAUAUUAAUUUUUUCAUAUUGUCUAUUGUCUAAGUUAUGCUCACAAAUAUAAUGAUUAUCAUCUAUUGUUUGUCAUUUUUUUAUUUGGAGAAAGUCUAUUAUCUGCCUUGUGCAUGGAAAAUAUUGUAUAUUUCUGUCCAUGGGUGCAUGUCACUUUCAUUUGCAGGCUCAUUUGAGUUAUCAGUAGCGUAUCUAAAGCAACCCCCUUUUAGACCAUAAAACAUUUCUUUUCCAAAAAAUAGCCCACUAACUUGCACUGGUUUCCCAUCA